AGGAAUAUUGGUCAAUGGCCGAGAGGCUGAACCAGCCAAGUCGCGUGAAGGAAGAAGGAUCUAUGGUUUGUAAACUUCUUUUAUAGGGGAAUAAAGUGGAGGACGUGUCCUUUUUUGUAUGUACCCUAUGAAUAAGCAUCGGCUAACUCCGUGCCAGCAGCCGCGGUAAUACGGAGGAUGCGAGCGUUAUCCGGAUUUAUUGGGUUUAAAGGGUGCGUAGGUGGUGAUUUAAGUCAGCGGUGAAAGUUUGUGGCUCAACCAUAAAAUUGCCGUUGAAACUGGGUUACUUGAGUGUGUUUGAGGUAGGCGGAAUGCGUGGUGUAGCGGUGAAAUGCAUAGAUAUCACGCAGAACUCCGAUUGCGAAGGCAGCUUACUAAACCAUAACUGACACUGAAGCACGAAAGCGUGGGGAUCAAACAGGAUUAGAUACCCUGGUAGUCCACGCAGUAAACGAUGAUUACUAGGAGUUUGCGAUACAAUGUAAGCUCUACAGCGAAAGCGUUAAGUAAUCCACCUGGGGAGUACGCCGGCAACGGUGAAACUCAAAGGAAUUGACGGGGGCCCGCACAAGCGGAGGAACAUGUGGUUUAAUUCGAUGAUACGCGAGGAACCUUACCCGGGUUUGAACGUAGUCUGACCGGAGUGGAAACACUCUUUCUAGCAAUAGCAGAUUACGAGGUGCUGCAUGGUUGUCGUCAGCUCGUGCCGUGAGGUGUCGGCUUAAGUGCCAUAACGAGCGCAACCCUUAUCACUAGUCACUAACAGGUGAAGCUGAGGACUCUGGUGAGACUGCCAGCGUAAGCUGUGAGGAAGGUGGGGAUGACGUCAAAUCAGCACGGCCCUUACAUCCGGGGCGACACACGUGUUACAAUGGCAUGGACAAAGGGCAGCUACCUGGUGACAGGAUGCUAAUCUCCAAACCAUGUCUCAGUUCGGAUCGGAGUCUGCAACCCGACUCCACGAAGCUGGAUUCGCUAGUAAUCGCGCAUCAGCCAUGGCGCGGUGAAUACGUUCCCG
rnacentral:rRNA from 1 species